rnacentral:lncRNA from 10 species
GUUUUAUUUCUGAUUUCAAUUAUUUAUUAUCUCUUUUCUUCUUUAUCAGUAUAGAGUAAUUUGUCAAUUUUGCCGAUUUUUUAAUAGAAUCAGCUUUUGGUUUUAUUAUUUCUUUCUCUAUAAUUCCUGCCCUGUAUUUUAUUUACUUCCAUUUUAAUUAUUAUUAUUUCCUCUCUUCUACUUGUGUUUAAUUUGCUCUUAUUUUCUGGUUCAUAAAAGUCUGAAGUUAUGUUAUUGAUUUGAGAUCUUUUGUACAUUUUUUAAUGUAGGCUAUUGCAACUAUAAAUUUUCAUCUGAGCACUGAUUUUGCUUCAUAUCAUAAGUUUAGUAUGUUGUGUUGUUAUUGCAUAUCUUCAGAUAUUUGUAAUUUCUCUUCUUUGAUCCAUUGCUUGAAAAGGCACUCAUGGUUUAAUUGCCAUAUAUUUGUAUAUUUUCCAGUUUUUCUCCUGUUGUUGAUUUAAAGUUCCACUCCAUUGUGUUCCGAGAAGAUGCUUUGUAUAAGUUUAAUGUUUUUAAAAUUUAUUGAAGAAUUCUUUGUUGCCUAACACAUGGGCUAUCAGAGAGAACAUGUAUUCUGCUGUUGUUGGGUGGAAUGUCCUGUGUAUGUCUAUUAGGUAUAGUUGAUUUAUAUAAACACUAUACUUUAAUUCCUCUAUUUCCUUGUUGCAGAUUUUCUAUCAAGAAUUUGAAGUGGCCCAUUGAUGUCUCCAACUAUUAUUGCAGAACUACGUAUUCUCUCCCUAAAUUUUGCCAAUAUUUGCUUCGUAUAUUUUGGGGGGCCCUGUUGUUUAGUGUGUGCAUAUUUAUAAUUGUUAUAUCUUCUUGAUAAAUUGAUCCUUUUAUUAGUGUUUAAUGCCCUUGUUCCAAUUGUAACAGUGGUUAAAUUAAAGUCAAUUCAUGUCAUACUAGUAGAGCCACACCACCUCUCUUUUGGUUACCAUUUGUAUGGAAUAUAUUUUUCUGUUUUUCACUUUCAAUUUAUUUGUGGCUUGCAACUAAAUUGAGUCUCUUAUAAAAAAAAUGUAGUUGUGUGAUUUUUAAAAUCCAUUACACUGACUUUUGCCUCUCAAUUGGAAAGUUUACUUCAUUUACUUUUAUAGAAAUUAUUGAUGAGAAUUACUACUGCCAUUUUGCUUUUUGUUUUCUAUAUGGCUUACAAUUUUUUGUUCAUUUCUUCCCUUAAUAGUUUUUUUGUGAUUAGUUGAUUUUUAUAGUAAAAUGUUUUAAAAACCUCUGUCAUUUUCUUAUGUGUGCAUUUUAAAAAUAUUGUCUCUAACUGCCAUAAGGAUUCUGUUUAAUAUCUUAAAUUUAUAAUCCUCUAUGUUUUAAUUAAUGCCAACAUAAUUUCAAUAGCAUGAAACACUCCAUAUCUGUGCAGUCCCCUUACCCAUUUCAUGUUGUUUCACAAAUUACAUUCAUAUACAUUCUGUGCUGAAUAACAUAAAUUUAUAAUUAUUUUUAUAAAUUUUUUCAACAUGUAUAGAAAAUAAAAAUGGAGUUAUAAACUAAAAAUAAAAUAAUGCUAAGUUUUAUAAUUGCCCAUGGACUUACUUUUUCCAGGAAACCUUUAUUUCUUCAUUCAUCUUUAGGUUAUUGUCUAGUGUCUUUUCAUUUCAACCUGAAAGAAUCUCUUUAGCAUUUUUCAUAGGACACGUCUGUAGGUUAUAAACUCCGUCAUCUUUUGUUUCUCUGUAAAUGUCUUAAUUCUUUACUCAUUUAUCAUAGAAUGUUUUGCUAGAUAAAGAAUUCUCAGUAAGCAGUUGUUACUGUUUUUGGUCUUUCUUUCAGGACUAAAACAUAUUUGUCCACUAUCUUCUCACUACCAUCAUUUAUAAUGAGAAAAUAGCUCUUAAUCUUAUUGAGAAUCCCUUGUACAUAAUAAAUCGAUUUUCCCUAGCUACUUGCAAAAUUGUCUGUUUGUCUUUAGCUUUCAAUAAUUUGACAACUGUAUAUCUGGAGAAACCCCGUAUAUAUGGAGAAACCCCGUCUCUACUAAAAACACAAAAAAUUAGCCAGGCGCAGUGGUGCAUGCCUGUAAUCCCAGCUACUCGGGAGGCUGAGGUAGGAGAAUCACUUGAACUUGGGAGGCGGAGGUUGCGGUGAGCCAAGAUCGUGCCAGCCUGGGCAACAAUAGCAAAACUCUGUAUCACAAAACAAAAAACAAAAAACAAAAACAAAAACACUAAAUAAUUCAUUUAGUAUGGGAGAGUGUGAGGAAACAGAAAAUUAAAAAAAAAAUAGACCAGCAAUAAUGUCACUUUUUCAUGAAUUUGUUAGUUCUUUCUGAGCUCCACUUACAGUUACUUUCCCAUUCUUCC